rnacentral:rRNA from 1 species
UACGGAGGAUCCAAGCGUUAUCCGGAUUUAUUGGGUUUAAAGGGUGCGUAGGCGGCCUGUUAAGUCAGGGGUGAAAGACGGUAGCUCAACUAUCGCAGUGCCCUUGAUACUGAUGGGCUUGAAUGGACUAGAGGUAGGCGGAAUGAGACAAGUAGCGGUGAAAUGCAUAGAUAUGUCUCAGUACACCGAUUGCGAAGGCAGCUUACUAUGGUCUUAUUGACACUGAGGCACGAAAGCGUGGGGAGCGAACAGG